CGUUAUUACCGCGACGCCUUAUCAACUCAGCUAUACUGUGUAUGAAGUGUUUGCUUGAAAUGAAAAGUGUAG